GACGAACGCUGGCGGCGUGCUUAACACAUGCAAGUCGAACGCUGAAGCUCAGCUUGCUGGGUGGAUGAGUGGCGAACGGGUGAGUAACACGUGAGUAACCUGCCCUCUUCUUUGGGAUAACGCCCGGAAACGGGUGCUAAUACUGGAUAUUCACUGAUUCUCGCAUGGGGGUUGGUGGAAAGGUUUUUUCUGGUGGGGGAUGGGCUCGCGGCCUAUCAGCUUGUUGGUGGGGUGAUGGCCUACCAAGGCUUUGACGGGUAGCCGGCCUGAGAGGGUGACCGGUCACAUUGGGACUGAGAUACGGCCCAGACUCCUACGGGAGGCAGCAGUGGGGAAUAUAGCACAAUGGGCGAAAGCCUGAUGCAGCGACGCCGCGUGAGGGAUGGAGGCCUUCGGGUUGUAAACCUCUUUCGCUCAUGGUCAAGCCGCAGCUUUGGGUUGUGGUGAGGGUAGUGGGUAAAGAAGCGCCGGCUAACUACGUG
rnacentral:rRNA from 1 species